UACAGAGGUCCCAAGCGUUGUUCGGAUUCAUUGGGCGUAAAGAGCGUGUAGGCGGCUCGGUAAGUCCGCUCUGAAAGCCCGGGGCUCAACCCCGGGAGGCGGGCGGAUACUGUCGGGCUAGAGUCCGGAAGAGGCGAGUGGAAUUCCUGGUGUAGCGGUGAAAUGCGCAGAUAUCAGGAGGAACACCAAUGGCGAAGGCAGCUCGCUGGGACGGUACUGACGCUGAGACGCGAAAGCGUGGGGAGCAAACAGG
rnacentral:rRNA from 1 species